ACGAACGCUGGCGGCAUGCUUAAUACAUGCAAGUCGAACGAAAAACGGUUCGCCGUUUUUAGUGGCAAACGGGUGAGUAACGCGUGGGAAUCUGCCCUUUGGUGGGGGAUAGCUGGGGGAAACUCCAGGUAAUACCGCAUAACCUUGGUAACAAGUAAAGAUUUAUUGCCAAAGGAUGAGCCCGCGUCAGAUUAGGUAGUUGGUAAGGUAAUGGCUUACCAAGCCUUUGAUCUGUAGCUGAUUUGAGAGAAUGAUCAGCCACACUGGGAUUGAGAUACGGCCCAGACUCCUACGGGAGGCAGCAGUAGGGAAUAUUGGACAAUGGGGGAAACCCUGAUCCAGCAAUGCCGCGUGAAUGAAGAAGGCCUUAGGGUUGUAAAGUUCUUUCGCUUAUGAUGAUAAUGACAGUAAUAAGAUAAGAAGGUCCGGCUAACUCUGU
rnacentral:rRNA from 1 species